rnacentral:rRNA from 1 species
AACGAACGCUGGCGGCAUGCCUAACACAUGCAAGUCGAACGAGACCUUCGGGUCUAGUGGCGCACGGGUGCGUACCGCGUGGGAACCUGCCCUUAGGUUCGGAAUAACUCCCCGAAAGGGGUGCUAAUACCGGAUAAUGUCUUCGGACCAAAGAUUUAUCGCCUUUGGAUGGGCGCGCGUUGGUUUAGCUGGUUGGUAGGGUAAAAGCAUACCAAGGCGACGAUCCAUAGCUGGUCUGAGAGGAUGAUCAGCCACACUGGGACUGAGACACGGACCAGAAUCGUACGGGAGGCAGCAGUGGGGUAUAUUGGACAAUGGGGGAAAGUCUGAUACAGCCGUGCCGCGUGAGUGAUGAAGGCGGUAGGGUUGUAAAGCUGUUUUACCCGAGAUGAUAAUGACAGUAACGGGAGAAUAAGCACCGGCUAACUCCGUG